UACGUAGGCAGCAAGCGUUGUUCGGAGUUACUGGGCGUAAAGGGUGUGUAGGCGGUUGUUUAAGUUUGGUGUGAAAUCUCCCGGCUCAACUGGGAGGGUGCGCCGAAUACUGAAUGACUCGAGUGCGGGAGAGGAAAGUGGAAUUCCUGGUGUAGCGGUGAAAUGCGUAGAUAUCAGGAGGAACAUCGGUGGUGUAGACGGCUUUCUGGACCGUAACUGACGCUGAAACACGAAAGCGUGGGUAGCAAACAGG
rnacentral:rRNA from 1 species